AAUAAGCGGAGGAAAAGAAACCAACAGGGAUUGCCCUAGUAACGGCGAGUGAAGCGGCAACAGCUCAAAUUUGAAAUCUGGCGUCUUCGGCGUCCGAGUUGUAAUUUGCAGAGGGCGCUUUGGCAUUGGCAGCGGUCCAAGUUCCUUGGAACAGGACGUCACAGAGGGUGAGAAUCCCGUACGUGGUCGCUAGCCUUUACCGUGUAAAGCCCCUUCGACGAGUCGAGUUGUUUGGGAAUGCAGCUCUAAAUGGGAGGUAAAUUUCUUCUAAAGCUAAAUACUGGCCAGAGACCGAUAGCGCACAAGUAGAGUGAUCGAAAGAUGAAAAGCACUUUGGAAAGAGAGUUAAAAAGCACGUGAAAUUGUUGAAAGGGAAGCGCUUGCAGCCAGACUUGCCUGUAGUUGCUCAUCCGGGUUUCUACCCGGUGCACUCUUCUAUAGGCAGGCCAGCAUCAGUUUGGGCGGUUGGAUAAAGGUCUCUGUCAUGUACCUCCUUUCGGGGAGAUCUUAUAGGGGAGACGACAUGCAACCAGCCUGGACUGAGGUCCGCGCAUCUGCUAGGAUGCUGGCGUAAUGGCUGUAAGCGGCCCGUCUUGAAACACGGACCAAGGAGUCUAACAUCUAUGCGAGUGUUUGGGUGUCAAGCCCGAACGCGUAAUGAAAGUGAACGGAGGUGGGAACCUUUCGGGGUGCACCAUCGACCGAUCCUGAUGUCUUCGGAUGGAUUUGAGUAAGAGCAUAGCUGUUGGGACCCGAAAGAUGGUGAACUAUGCUUGAAUAGGGUGAAGCCAGAGGAAACUCUGGUGGAGGCUCGCAGCGGUUCUGACGUGCAAAUCGAUCGUCAAAUUUGGGCAUAGGGGCGAAAGACUAAUCGAACUAUCUAGUAGCUGGUUCCUCCGA
rnacentral:rRNA from 1 species